UACGAAGGGGGCUAGCGUUGUUCGGAAUUACUGGGCGUAAAGCGCGCGCAGGCGGUCCUUCAAGUCAGAGGUGAAAGCCCAGAGCUCAACUCUGGAAUGGCCUUUGAGACUAGAGGACUUGGGUACGGGAGAGGAGAGUGGAAUUCCGAGUGUAGAGGUGAAAUUCGUAGAUAUUCGGAAGAACACCAGUGGCGAAGGCGGCUCACUGGCCCGUUACCGACGCUCAGGCGCGACAGCGUGGGGAGCAAACAGG
rnacentral:rRNA from 1 species